rnacentral:lncRNA from 1 species
ACCAAUCGCUGCUCGUAUGUCCUUUCAUGGUAAAGUACAUCUAUUCAUGAACAUGGAAAUACACAGCAAAGACCUUGUUACUCAAAGACCCAGCUACUCUCUGACAGUCACCAUCAGACCAUCAGACCACCAGAUGGACAGGCUGUGUGUUUCUCUGAUUGCAUUCUUGUGUGCUGUUUCCUCCAGUCAGUUCAUCCUAACACUGUUCCUCUGCUACCUGUGCUGUUUCCUCCAGUCAGGAUGGGAUCUCUGCAGCAGAGGUGGAGCUGAGAGUCAGACCAGGAGACAACGUUGUUCUUCACUGUGAUGUCAAACACCAUGAUAAAACACAUUGGCAUAGAAACAGCUCCAUUGAGAAUGUGGGUAAUUUCAGUGUUUCAAACCAGGAAAUAAUGGACAAUCCUGUCCCUCGCUUCUAUUUCCUGUGGCGUUCUCAAAAGUUCUGGGAUCUGCUGAUUGAGAAUGUGACUGAAUCUGACCUGGGACUCUACUACUGUGGGAGCUGGAAGAAGAAGUUGUUGAACUUUGAAGGGGUUAGCGAUACAGUAGAAACGUUCAUAUCUAACAAUGGAAAAGUCAACACCAGACUUUCAUUUGAAACCAGUCCUCCUGACUGUCUGUUGCCAGAAACCAGUCCUCCAGAGCCCUCCUCCUCC